rnacentral:rRNA from 1 species
AUUGAACGCUGGCGGCAGGCUUAACACAUGCAAGUCGAGCGGGGGAAGGUAGCUUGCUACUGGACCUAGCGGCGGACGGGUGAGUAAUGCUUAGGAAUCUGCCUAUUAGUGGGGGACAACAUCUCGAAAGGGAUGCUAAUACCGCAUACGUCCUACGGGAGAAAGCAGGGGAUCUUCGGACCUUGCGCUAAUAGAUGAGCCUAAGUCGGAUUAGCUAGUUGGUGGGGUAAAGGCCUACCAAGGCGACGAUCUGUAGCAGGUCUGAGAGGAUGGUCCGCCACACUGGGACUGAGACACGGCCCAGACUCCUACGGGAGGCAGCAGUGGGGAAUAUUGGACAAUGGGGGGAACCCCGAUCCAGCCAUGCCGCGUGUGUGAAGAAGGCCUUAUGGUUGUAAAGCACUUUAAGCGAGGAGGAGGCUACUCUAGUUAAUACCUAGGGAUAGUGGACGUUACUCGCAGAAUAAGCACCGGCUAACUCUGUGCCAGCCGCCGCCGUAA